AUCGCAAUAUAAAUAAGGGGUCGGCGCUGCUGAAUUGGUUCUCACACGUCUACAGACACUCAUCGGAGGAGAAGCGCCUUUCUACAAGCAGACUUUGCACCAGAGCUAUAGACAUGGACGGCCCUUGCAAGUGUGGUGACCCCAACUGCCGAUGCACAUCGUCCUGCCAGUGCGGCUCGGGACGAUGCGGCUGCGGGAAAUGCAAGAAGUAGCCUGGUACAUCCAGGACGGGGACGCGGGGAAAAGAUGUAACUCGGAGUCGAGUCAUCCGGCAAAGCAAACACAAAAAAACUAAAGGAAGUCACCUAUGCGACCACGACGGUUCCAGCUGCUGGUCGAACGAUGAUGAAGCUUAAUCGCGGAGUGAGGUGUGGCGAAUAAUAAUAAUAAAAAAUGCAAGAAAAAGA
rnacentral:lncRNA from 1 species